CUUUAAACAUGUCCCAUUUCUAAGCUAUCUCCUGUUUGGCACCUCACGCUCGGCUGCGAAGCAUCCUACGUCUGGACGCGUCCACCAUCCUUCCCACAUCGGUCUGGUCCAAGCUCGGUGAGCACGCCUCUAGUGUGACCUUUAUCCACCGGGCUACAAGAGCAGAUUUUACACGUUCUUCCCUGUCAGACUCUAAAGCCCUUCUUCUUCAACUGUAUUUGCCUCUCUUCAUCUAACAAGUCCCUAAAUCACUAGCUGGCAAACUCAUUGAGUGUGGAGCUGGUGAACAGAUUAUAAGAGGAAAAUGGAUACAAACAAUCUGCCUACCAAAUUCAACUAAACUCUUACUCUUUACAAAACAUUUCCCAUUCGAGAAAUGAGUCUUAAACCUGUCUUCAAGACAAAAUGGUGCAAUGGACGUUUCCAAGCUCUCAGUGUCAGCUUCUCAACUCACCAAGAAACCUGAUGCUGACAUUUACUUCCUGUCUUAAGAGAGACCACUGGGAUAUCUACACACCUGUCAGCACAAGAACUCUCUCUGUAAGGUGGCAGAGCUGGUGGUCUUCCUUUGGUGAAUAGAGACAGCUGCUGUCAAACAAUAGAAAAAUUUCCCAGGAAUCUUGUAGAUGUUGAGUUGAUAGAGCAAUUCUCAACUUCAUAUGGAAAAAAACAAAAAUGAAAACAAUCUCAGGACAGCUGAGACAAUCCUCGACAAUAAGAGAACUUUUGGAGGCAUCGCCAUCCCUGAUCUCAAGCUGCAUUACAGAAUGGUAAUAAUUCAAGGCACAUGGUACUGACAUAAAAACAGGCAGAUUAACCAGUGGAAUAGAAAUGAAGACCCAGAAAUAAACUCAAACAUCUAUGGACACUUGAUUUUUGACAAAGAAGCAAAAUCCUAUAGUGGAAAAAAGAAAGUAUCUUCAACAAGUGAUGCUGGUCCAAUUAAAUGUCUGCAUGUAGAAGAAUGCAAAUAGAUUCAUAUUUAUCACCCUUCAAAAACUCAAGUCCAAGUGUAUCAAAGACCUCAACAUAAAACUGGA
ensembl:lncRNA AABR07014306.1